AUGAGUAAGCCAAAGCAAACGACCAAAGAGAAACAUAGUCUUAUAUUUAUUGGCAUGGAUACUACAUCAAAAUACUACGCUACAUAAAUCGAGACAGAGGUGUAUAUAUGCAGCAGCGACAAACUAUGAGAAUUAGGAUGCAUUUUCACUAUGCUACAAAAUAAAUUCGAGCAUUCGAGUAUAUAUGGAAUAUGGAAUAAUGUGCAUGUCUGAAGGAUGCAUCCCAGUUACGGAAUGUCUAGGGUAAAUCAACUUAGCAAAUAAUGAAUGUAAAGCAUUUAUCAAUUUCCUUUCCCUAUGAAUAUUGUAAAUAAUCGAUUUCGAAAACUCAUUUGAAGGCUUAGCAUGUAUGUAAUUUAAACGAAACGAAAGAACUAAA